AAAGUCGGGCUUAAUGAUCCGGUGGUUCCGCAUGGAUGAGCCAUCGCUCAACGGAUAAAAGCUACCCCGGGGAUAACAGGCUUAACGCCCCCAAGAGUCCACAUCGACGGCGAGGUUUGGAACCUCGAUGUCGGCUCGUCGCUUCCUGGGGCUGUAGUCGGUCCCAAGGGUUGUGCUGUUCGCCCAUUAAAGCGGCACGCGAGAUGGGUUCAGAACGUCGUGAGACAGUUCGGUCCCUAUCCGUCGCGGGCGCAGGAAAUUUGAGAGGAGCUGUCCUCCGUACGACUGGACCGGGAUGGACACACCGCUGGUGUACGAGUUGUUCCGCCCGGAGCAUCGCUGGGUCACUAUGCGUGGCAGGGAUAACCGCCGAACGCACUUCAGCGUGAAACCCCC
rnacentral:rRNA from 1 species